rnacentral:piRNA from 1 species
UAACACCCAUGCCAGGUGCCGGAGUGUUUC